AAUCCAUGCAUUGGACAUUUCCAAAGUAGUUCUUUACAUCGGUCCCAAGCUUCAUAUAGCGUUUCAUCCUCUGUUUACCUAAAAGAUGUGAUGUUAUUUCUAAGCUU
rnacentral:snoRNA from 1 species